rnacentral:rRNA from 1 species
CCUCAGUAAUGGCGAAUGAACAGGGAUGAGCUCAGUAUGGAAAUUGGGGCCUGUGGCCUUGAAUUGUAGUCUGGAGAUGUACUACCAACUGGGGCGCAGAUGUAAGCCUCUUGGAAAAGAGCAUCAAUGAGGGUGAGAGUCCCGCUUGGCAUCUGCAGUCCCCAGUGCACGGUGUACCUUCUAAGAGUCACGUUCCUCGGGAUUGGAGCGCAAAUUGGGUGGUAAAUUUCAUCUAAAGCUAAAUAUUGUUUCGAGACCGAUAGCAAACAAGUACCAUGAGGGAAAGGUGAAAAGGACUUUGAAAAGAGAGUUAAAAGUGCCUGAAAUUGCUGAAAGGGAAGCGAAUGGAACCAGCGUAACUUGGUGAGAUUGCUGCGUAUCAAUGUGAUUGCUUGCUGCUUCAACGUAAGUGUGGUAGUAAGUCUUGAACAGGACAUGCGUGGUGUUUCUUGCCUUGUGUGUCACUGCCAGUUCACAGCUGGGGAAAACUUCAGGGGCAUGGUAGCUUGUCUCCGGAUGGGUGAACGUGUCUGCUGGAACUCAUUUGUGGACUGAUUGGUGACUAAAUGGUUCCAUCUGACCCGUCUUGA